GGAUGCGAUCAUACCAGCACUAAAGUACCGGAUCCCAUCAGAACUCCGAAGUUAAGCGUGCUUGGGCGAGAGUAGUACUAGGAUGGGUGACCUCUUGGGAAGUCCUCGUGUUGCAUUCC
rnacentral:rRNA from 1 species